UCUUUCUUUUGUUCCUUUCCCCAGCCAGGUCUUUCUUGGAAAAGAAAAAGUCUUUGGGUUUGUGCAGGUACCUUCAUGCUCCAAUUAAUUCCAUCUCCCUUUGCUUCCUCUGUCAUUUUCAUCUGUAAUUUCGUAUUAACGCACACCUUCAAAGGAAACUUCGUUUUAGUAAAUAAAUUAACAUUAACAUUGCCCCUUACAAAACACGCUUAAGUACUAAUUAAUAAGAAAGCUACAUAUAUACUAUAUAGGUCGUACUAUAUAUUAGAAUUAGAUAUACAUAUUUUAUUUAUUUGCUUAGGAUAUUGUCCUAAAACUUACUUGCUUGGACCCCAGUAGUUGAGUUGAGGAAGUGAUGGAAGCAGUUUACAGGUUGAAACCUCUUUUGGAUGUGGUUAGAGUUGGGAACGCUACCACUUCUGAGAUGCGUCUUGAAUCAACGGCUAAUUGUUACCUGCAGCUAGAAGCUCCUCAACCUCAAGAGAAUAAUAAUGUAACCGACUCAUCAUCAGAUAUGUCGGAUCGGAUAAUCAAGAUCCAGAUCGCCAAUCACCCUCUUUAUCCAGAUUUACUCUCUGCAUAUAUUGAAUGCCAAAAGGUCAUACAUAGCUACAUACUUUAUAGAAUUAGUUUUCUUUGCCUAAUUAUAUAUAUAUGAACAAUUGAAUACCAAAUGGUGGAAAUUGCUUUGAAAGCUAAGGUUGGAGCACCGCCAGAACUGGCAUGCCUUCUUGAAGAAAUAGGCCGAGAAAGCCACCGCAUGAAUGCUCGCCGUGAGAUAGGGGAGGGCCCUGAACUUGACCACUUCAUGGUAUGUAUGUUUCUAAAUUUCUCUUUUACUUUUUCGGCUACUUAUAUUUCGCUUUUGUUUCCAAAUAAUAGCUAGAGAUUGAAAGAAAAUGGUGAAAUCGCAGUGACAGUUUAUUUAUUAUGGUUAAAUAUAUGUGAGUCAUCUAGGAAUUUACUCUUCUUUUUCCUAAAUAUAGAUAUAGUUACAUAUAUGUGAGUCAUCUAGGAAUUUUUGUGGUGUUUCUGAAAGAUUUAAAUUGUGGUUGUUGUUACCUGAAAGGAAACAUUCUGCCAAGUUCUUCAUAGAUACAAGGAGGAGUUGUCC
rnacentral:lncRNA from 1 species